rnacentral:rRNA from 1 species
AACGAACGCUGGCGGCAGGCUUAACACAUGCAAGUCGAGCGCCCCGCAAGGGGGAGCGGCAGACGGGUGAGUAACGCGUGGGAAUCUACCCAUCUCUACGGAAUAACGCAUGGAAACGUGUGCUAAUACCGUAUAAGUCCUUCGGGAGAAAGAUUUAUCGGAGAUGGAUGAGCCCGCGUUGGAUUAGCUAGUUGGUGGGGUAAAGGCCUACCAAGGCGACGAUCCAUAGCUGGUCUGAGAGGAUGAUCAGCCACACUGGGACUGAGACACGGCCCAGACUCCUACGGGAGGCAGCAGUGGGGAAUAUUGGACAAUGGGCGCAAGCCUGAUCCAGCCAUGCCGCGUGAGUGAUGAAGGCCCUAGGGUUGUAAAGCUCUUUCACCGGUGAAGAUAAUGACGGUAACCGGAGAAGAAGCCCCGGCUAACUUCGUGCCAGCCGCCGCAGUAAAAC